AACGAACGUUGGCGGCGUGGAUUAGGCAUGCAAGUCGCGGGAAUCCCAGCAAUGGGGGAACCGGCGUAAGGGGCAGUAAGGCGUGGGUACCUACCUUGGGAUCCGGGAUAGCCGUCCGAGAGGGCGGGUAAUACCGGAUGAUCUCGAGAGAGCAAAGCUCCGGCGUCCCGAGAGGGGCCCACGUGAUAUUAGCUAGUUGGCGGGGUGACGGCCCACCAAGGCGGAGAGGUCUAGCGGGUGUGAGAGCACGACCCGCGCCACUCGCACUGGGACACUGGGGAGACACCUGCGGGUGGCGGCAGUCGGGGAUCUUCGGCAAUGCGCGCAAGCGCGACCGAGCGACGCCGCGGGGGCGAUGAAGGCCUUCGGGUUGUAAAGCCCUGUCGAGGGGGAGAAAAGCUCGAAAGAGUGUGAUCUAUCCCUGGAGGAAGCUCGGGCUAAGUUCGUGCCAGCCGCCGCCGUAACAC
rnacentral:rRNA from 1 species